rnacentral:rRNA from 1 species
GGCAAGCAGGAGGAGGGUGGGGAUGAUGUCAAGUCAGCAUGGCCUUUAUAUCCAGGGCUACACACACGCUACAAUGGCGCGUACAGUGGGUUGCCAAGCCGCGAGGCGGAGCCAAUCCUAAAAAGCGCGUCGUAGUUCGGAUUGCAGGCUGCAACUCGCCUGCAUGAAGUCGGAGUUGCUAGUAACCGCAAAUCAGCACGUUGCGGUGAAUACGUUCCCGGGCCUUGUACACACCGCCCGUCACGUCAUGGGAGUUGGUCACGCCUGAAGUCGGGAAGCCAACCGCAAGGAGGCUACCGCCGAAGGCAGGGCUGAUGACUGGGACGAAGUCGUA